AUGGAGAAAAGGCUGCCCUAGAAAAUCAAGUUCAAAUUCUUCAUCCUGGCUUUGGUGUUCCAAACAUAAUUAUUCACUGACCUCGAAAAGUACCCCAUCCCACCUUCCUGCACAUCCCUCACCAUUAAUGCACCUGUGUCCCAGUGCCUGGCACAGAGUAGAUCCUCUUUAAGUGUUUGCCCAAAGCAGAGGGGGACAAACAACAGACUGAUCUUGGAUGAAAUGAAGACAGCCACUGAAGGUUUUUGAGGGCCAGUGUGACAUGAUCCAGCCACCCUGACAACCGUGAAGGAGAGAGCGGAGGAGUAUGCAUGAGGACCUCUGAGACCAGCUGCGAAAUGACUACAGUUGUCCAGGUUGUCCCCAAAGAGAAACUCAAGAAUCGGUGAUGAGCAGAGCAGGAGAGGGAGCCGCCUGCCUAUCUCAAAAGGGCACAUCACCAUAAUCACAGAUAUACCAUCCGACACACCUCAGCGGAUCCUAAUACCAGCAAUGGAUCGAGCCCGAGUGAAGGAGCAAUUCAGAUCCAGAAACGUCCUUGGGAAAAGCCUGAAGUUGAAAUAGGAAGGAGAAGCCGUGGAGAGCGGGAGGGGUUGCAGCUCGGACUCGCUCCCCCUCCGGCAGGCAGGGCGGCGGCCUGUUUCAGCAUCAGUACCCGAGGAGGGCCGCUUCCUCCUCUUCCUAGAGACCGCCUCAUUAUCUAAGAGAUCCUGCCGAACAGAAGCUUUUCCUGUCCCGAGAGCCUCACCUCCCUUGAUUUCACACAUUGCUCCUCAUUUUGGCUGGCCCUAUCAGGACCAAGAGACACUCACUUCCCCUGGCAUUCAGCCACUUAGAGCUGGAGGCAGAGUAAGCGCCUAUUGUCAUCCUCCCAAGGCCCGGUGGGAGUGAUGCUGACAUGCGACCCAUUGAUCCUGCCCUCUACCUGACGCUUUUCCCAAGCCUGGCCUCGUCUGGUCAUCCCACUGAACCGACAAGGUGAUACUCUCCCACUCUGCAGAUGAGGAAGCUCUUGCUCAGAGAAGCUAAGCAACAGACCAAGGCCACAAAGCUCUUGAGUGACGGGGCAGGAACCUAAAUGACUUGAAACUCCAUGCUUCUACCCCGUAAAG